UACGGAGGGAGCUAGCGUUGUUCGGAAUUACUGGGCGUAAAGCGCGCGUAGGCGGCUUUGUAAGUUAGAGGUGAAAGCCCGGGGCUCAACCCCGGAACUGCCUUUAAGACUGCAUCGCUUGAAUCCGGGAGAGGUGAGUGGAAUUCCGAGUGUAGAGGUGAAAUUCGUAGAUAUUGGGAAGAACACCGGUGGCGAAGGCGGCGACCUGGUCCGUUACUGACGCUGAGGCGCGACAGCGUGGGGAGCAAACAGG
rnacentral:rRNA from 1 species